rnacentral:rRNA from 1 species
UACGAGGGGUGCAAGCGUUGUUCGGAAUUAUUGGGCGUAAAGGGCAGGUAGGUGGUCUUGAAAGUCUGCUGUGAAAUCCCCGGGCUUAACCUGGGAAGUGCGGCAGAUACUCCAAGACUUGAGUACUGGAGGGGUUCGUGGAAUUCCCGGUGUAGCGGUGAAAUGCGUAGAUAUCGUAAGGAAGACCAGUGGCGAAGGCGGGUCUCUGGACAGUUCCUGACGCUGAGGCACGAAGGUCAGGGGAGCAAACGGG